GGUGGAGGUCUUUGUGUGCCGUGGUUUUUAACUUUUUUUUUUUUUUUAAGGGGGUUUCCUCUUAAGCAGCCUGCCUAUAACCGCGGCUGGCUUCUAUCAUAAAAAUCUGCCUGCCUCUGUUGUGAACUACUCCCUGCACUGUCUUAUGAAAUGUCUGUCUCUAGUGGUUUAAAAGACCCCCGUGGAUAUAGCCAUCGUAGAUGUGGACUCUUAUAAUCUGUUCUGUAGUCUUAGCGGGGAGACCAUGUUAGGGCGUUCAAGACCUAGAGAUGGCAGGAUUUUGUGAAGGACAAAAUGGUGGCGGCAGCGCAAGGCCAUCCCCAGUGAUGAGGACCUUAUCACAGACCUGUACUGAUUUCUGUGAGGAUAAGUAACUCUGAGAAGGCUGGCGCUGGGCCUACAGUUUUCUGAUCCUGCAGAGAGAUUUCUUGAUGUAGAAAUAACCCAAGUUUUUCCUGCAGGUUUGACGUGCUUGUUUACGUACGAAAGAAUGGGAGUAUGCUCUCUUUACAGAAUACGGUUAACCUCGAAGGGGUUUGCACAUUGGAACCAGGCCUGUUCACUUUUACAGAUAGCACGCUUUGCUUCUAGUCAGGGUACUGUGACAACAUGAGUUUUCACGCUGCCUCCGAACGUGAUUGCAGGUUUUCCUGAGGUGAUUUCUUUAGAGGAGGAGUUCCUGUAUACCACGAAUCUCCAGCAUCAAAAGGUUCUGUUAGCAGUGUCAAACUUACUGAUUCAGAGGUGACACUGGCUAAGAGCAAAGGAGACAUGCCAGGAAUGUUAAAAGCAUUUUUUAAUUCAAGUCCACACUAAAGUGAGGUAUGGAGAAAAGAAUGAGCUGUACAUGAAAGGAGCUGAACAUCAAAUCUGAUGGGAGGAGCAGUCAGCGCUCCCCACCACUGAGCCAUCUCCAGCCCAGGAUGGUUAAUCUUUUCAAGCAUUAUUGCUGAAGCAGACUAAUAUGCUUCGCUUCACCAUAAUAGGUCACUUUUAAGAUAAAAAUUCUUUGCAAUUCCAGAUUGACCUUCAUUGCUGACCCUUUAACUGUAGCUGUGUUCUUUUGGUUCCUUGCAAUAAAUGCUCUAUGCUAUAGUGUAA